CGCUACACCAACUUCCGGUGCCACGGAAGGUCGGUUCGAUACACGAAACGGCUCAAGGGGCAAACGAGGCAGUAGGCUCACCUGAUGGACAAUGACUAUCAACGCCCGAACACCUGCAACACCCGAGGGCAUGUAAGUGCGCUGCCGGCCUUUAAGGAAUGAAUACGCUCUUUUCUUGAAGUGGAACAGCACGGUGUUAAAGUUUCGACCCGUCUCCUGAAGAGAAGAAGUCGCCUGUAAUUAAAUACUCAUC